rnacentral:rRNA from 1 species
AUUGAACGCUGGCGGCAGGCCUAACACAUGCAAGUCGAACGGUAACAGGAAGAAGCUUGCUUCUUUGCUGACGAGUGGCGAACGGGUGAGUAAUGUCUGGGAAACUGCCUGAUGGAGGGGGAUAACUACUGGAAACGGUAGCUAAUACCGCAUAACGUCGCAAGACCAAAGAGGGGGACCUUCGGGCCUCUUGCCAUCGGAUGUGCCCAGAUGGGAUUAGCUUGUUGGUGGGGUAACGGCUCACCAAGGCGACGAUCCCUAGCUGGUCUGAGAGGAUGACCAGCCACACUGGAACUGAGACACGGUCCAGACUCCUACGGGAGGCAGCAGUGGGGAAUAUUGCACAAUGGGCGCAAGCCUGAUGCAGCCAUGCCGCGUGUAUGAAGAAGGCCUUCGGGUUGUAAAGUACUUUCAGCGGGGAGGAAGGGAGUAAAGUUAAUACCUUUGCUCAUUGACGUUACCCGCAGAAGAAGCACCGGCUAACUCCGUG